rnacentral:rRNA from 1 species
UGCCAGCCGCCGCGGUAAUACGAAGGGACCUAGCGUAGUUCGGAAUUACUGGGCUUAAAGAGUUCGUAGGUGGUUAAAAAAGUUGGUGAUGAAAUCCCAGAGCUUAACUCUGGAACUGCCCUCAAAACUUUUUAGCUAGAGUAUGAUAGAGGAAAGCAGAAUUUCUAGUGUAGAGGUGAAAUUCGUAGAUAUUAGAAAGAAUACCGAUUGCGAAGGCAGCUUUCUGGAUCAUUACUGACGCUGAGGAACGAAAGCAUGGGUAGCGAAGAGGAUUAGAUA